UGGGGAAUAUUGGACAAUGGGCGGAAGCCUGAUCCAGCAACGCCGCGUGAGGGAUGACGGCCUUCGGGUUGUAAACCUCUUUCAGUACCGACGAAGCGCCGAUGAUGGUGGUGACGGUAGGUACAGAAGAAGCACCGGCUAACUACGUGCCAGCAGCCGCGGUAAUACGUAGGGUGCGAGCGUUGUCCGGAAUUAUUGGGCGUAAAGGGCUCGUAGGCGGUUUGUCGCGUCGGGAGUGAAAACAGCGGGCUUAACUCGUUGCUUGCUUCCGAUACGGGCAGACUAGAGGUAUGCAGGGGAGAAUGGAAUUCCUGGUGUAGCGGUGAAAUGCGCAGAUAUCAGGAGGAACACCGGUGGCGAAGGCGGUUCUCUGGGCAUUACCUGACGCUGAGGAGCGAAAGUGUGGGGAGCGAACAGGAUUAGAUACC
rnacentral:rRNA from 1 species